GCGGUCGAAACAGGUUCGCUCCGUCACAGCAGCCUGUCAAAGCGAGACGGGGUCGGACGAAGGGGUCGGACGAAGGGGGGGGAGGGGGUCGUUGUCUUUGCUCCACGCGUGACACACGGACGGCGUCUGGAUCGUUAAGGCAAUCACGUCGGAGGUGGCGACGGCGGGGGGCGAAGGGGGGCGACUCUCUCCCCACGUGUUCCCCGCUGUGUAGUGGCCGAGCGGUCAAUUAUCGCCGCUACCGAACAGCCUUGCAGCAGCAUCAGCAGCCUUUCAGCAGCGGCAGCAGCAGCAGCAGUGUUGGCUAUCAUUUGUUUCUGAUGUCCAGUUGGGGCGGAUCAAGCUGGCGAGUGUGGGUUGGUGAAGGAAGACGCUUGGUAGGGAGCCCCAUGACCAGUUCGGACAUCACUCGUCACUGAUGUUCGCGAUUGGCGAGAAUCAUAGCCAGGUCACCGGAUUAUUAUUUUACUACAACCAUUUGUCAUUCCAUUGUUGGAUGAAAGCUUCCCCGUGCCAUGUCGAUAAUGGGAGUUUUUUUUUUUUGACCCAAACUUCAUCACGCCGGUCAGUAAGGCAGAGGUCGCAAACGGGUUUUGAUUCCUUACCCGUACCCGGCCGCACCAGGGUCGCAAACGAGUACCCGUACCCGGCCGUACCCGUACGGGUAUCGGGUACCUGAUUGCGACCUCUGGGAUGAAGCCAUGUUGCAGGCGCGGGUGGGUUGAUUCUAGGAACUUGAAUUGUGAGAAGAGACAAGACGUUGGGAAAUGAGCGACAAACAGUUACUCACCAGUGACUCACGGUCUACCCGUACCCGUACCCGGCCGCACCGGGUACGGGUACGGGUAUCGGGUACCCGGUUGCGACCUCUGCAGUAAGGGUUGCUGAAAGGGCUGGGAGCCCAGAACCGGUUCAAUUUAACCGUGGACGUGAAUGGAACUCAGUUCGUCGGGUUUACAGCACAGUGGACAUCAAUGGACCGUGAGGGAUGGCGAUGCUUUUAGGUUCUAGAUUUGAAGCUUUCGUGACUGCAAGGAUUCAUAUUCUUAGGUUUUUUCGGUAAAGUCACGUAGGGUAAAAAAGUAAAAUUAAUAAAAGUAAAAAAAAUUUCAGAUAAAAAAUUCAAAUUAAUAAAAGUAAAAUAAUAAUAUUUUUUAUUUUACUUUUAUUCAUUUUAAAUGUUUACCUACGUGACUUUACCGAAAAAACCUAAGAAUAUGCUUUUAGGUGGCCGUCGGUUCAUGGAAGGCCAGCAGCGGCUUGAUGAUGAGCGAUGAGGAAGUGUCUCAAUGUUUGAAACACGUGCGACCAGUCGAGAGAUGACUUCAACGCUGGCGAGUCCGGAAUGUGAGCCCCACCAGUUUCCUGCUCCCAAUUCCCUCCUCCUGUCCCCCUCCGCUUGCCUCCCUCCGGCAGAACAAUUGCAGGAUGUGUGCAAAUUGAAAUGUACAACUGCUGAUUGUGCUCCGUUGAAUAUGGAAUAUUCACGUGUGCAUUAGGUACGUUUUGUCAUGCACAUUUGAAACAUUUCCCUCAUGCUGAGAGACGUAAACGUUUUGGUUUUACAUUUGUGAAGUGGCUACUCACCAGAUUCCCUUGCCAGUUUUAAACCGGUUACGAUUGGUCAGUGUCAGUUGAACAUUAAAAUAUCUGCCAAACAUUUUUUGUGAUUUUCUUUUUUACCAGUGAUGUCCGUUCAUGGUGUAUUUACGGGACUAGAUUUGAAGCUUUCGUGACUGCAAGGAUUCAUACUCUUAGGUCUUUCGGUAAAGUCACGUCGGUAAAAAAAUAAAUAGUUAAAGAUACAGCAAUCGUGCUGUGACGGUUCCACCUGAAGACGGAAGCUUGUGUUGCCUCCGAAACGUCGUGAUUUUUAUUUUAUUUCUAUUAUUUCUUCUAUAAUUUUUAGUUAUUAAUCUGUUAUUAUUUAUUUAUUUUAUCUACGUGACUUUACCGAAAACACCUAAGAGUAUUUACGGGACUGUCUGAACCAGUGCUAUCCUUCAGGGUGCCAUGGUGGCGUGGAGGUGUUACCCGCCUCGCCUGUUACACAGGAGGUCGGAGGUUCCAGCCUCCUGGGACAAAAUCACCAGCUUAGUUUGCAUGUUCUCUCUCCCCAUGGUAGCCGCGUCGAUUUUUGUUUCACCGGUUUCCCCUCCGAGUUUCACCAGAACCAUUUAUAAAAAUGUGUUUAGAUUAUUUGGCUUCGACUCUCACUUCCCACGUGUGAUGAUGAUGAUGAUAUAAGUCACUUCGAUGAGCCAGGAGACCAGGUCGACUGAAAAAGAGCUUAGAGCUCAGUGGGCUUCACCUGGUAUGUAAAAUAGUUUUCAUGUAAUAAAAAAAAACAGGUUUUACAUCAUCUUAAUUUCAAUGUUUAAAUAAACAUAUAGAAUAUAGAUGUGUAUACAUCUUUUUUUUUACCAACGUAACUUUACCGAAAAAACCUAAGAAUAUGAAUCCUUGCAGUCACGAAAGCUUCAAAUCUAGAAUGUGUAUACAGCUUUAAAAAAGUUAUACUUUUAUCAUGAAUAGCAAUUGCCGUGUCUGUUAACAGCAUUAGUUAAUUCAUUUUUUUUAUUUCGGUUCGAAUUUAUUUUGUCCUCAACUUGGCAUUGUUUGAAGCUAUGGUUACUAGGUGACGAUAAUAAAAAUGCCUACAGUGUGUACGAAGCAAGUUUUAUGCAGGUCAUAAAAGAGGGACUGUAUCCCAGAAUGUCAAUAGCUUCUCGACUGCUUCGAUUUCAAACAGUAUCCAGUCAAUUCCCAUAAAUUCGACAAUAAACUGAAGGGACUGCAUUAGCAGUGAUUGACAGGCACAACUCAAAAGCACACUCAACAAAGCUGCAAAAUAACAGCGCAAUAUAUAGCUGGAUGACGUUUCAAGUAACGUCCCUUCUUCGGAGCAGAGAGAGAGAAAGAGAGCCCCCAUAGAUAUAUUGACCGAUUUGUGGUGGCAGAUCGCACCUCACGCUGAGUCUCGGGAAACGUGAAGAUUUUGUUGUUUUUUCUUGGAUGUUUCUGUUGCGCGACGUCACUUUGAGAUGUUCUUUGUUCAUGUGUUUGUUUGUUACGGUUGCACCCGAGUCAAGAGCCUCAUGGCUCACA